GACGUAGGGGGCGAGCGUUGUCCGGAAUUACUGGGCGUAAAGAGCACGUAGGCGGGAACCUAAGUCAGGUGUGAAAGACCGUGGCUCAACCACGGGGUGGCAUUUGAAACUGGGUUUCUUGAGGGCAGGAGAGGAAAGCAGAAUUCCUGGUGUAGCGGUGAAAUGCGUAGAAAUCAGGAGGAAUACCAGUGGCGAAGGCGGCUUUCUGGACUGACCCUGACGCUGAGGAGCGAAAGCAUGGGUAGCGAACAGGAUUAGAUACCCUGGUAGUCCCUGA
rnacentral:rRNA from 1 species